GCUGUAUCGAUUGUUGAGAUCUGGCGACUUGUUUAAAUUUCAUCAGCCUCACUUCUAUGAACUCUCAGGCCUCACGUGUACCAGCUCUCUGCUCUCCUUUGCCUUGGGACGUUCCAUCCCUGGAAGUUUCCCUGCCCACAUCUUUGUAGAGAGUCCAUUCUCCAAGCUUCAGUGUGUCAUCUGUGAGGACCGUGACCCACCUGGUACAUCGCCUCAGGGCAUUCAUUUCAGGCUCCUUCUAAAUGGCCAAGGCACCCUUGGAAAUGCAAUGCUACAUCUCAAUGGGAUUUUCCAGUACAAAGAUUCUUUUCAAAUAACAUAAUUGUGGAUACACACCACUCCUACAGUGGUAAACCUCAGGUUCUCCU
rnacentral:lncRNA from 10 species